rfam:Penicillium nalgiovense strain IBT 13039 PENNAL_contig0006, whole genome shotgun sequence.
UGGCCUAGUGGUAAGGCAUCCGUUUCCGGUGCGGGAGAUCGUAGGUUCGAAUCCUNN